rnacentral:rRNA from 1 species
AGAGUUUGAUCCUGGCUCAGGAUGAACGCUAGCGGCAGGCUUAACACAUGCAAGUCGAGGGGCAGCGGGGAGGAAGCUUGCUUUCUCCGCCGGCGACCGGCGCACGGGUGAGUAACACGUAUGCAACCUGCCCCUGUCAGGGGGACAACCCGCCGAAAGGCGGGCUAAACCCGCGUACAUGCCACCGGGGCAUCCCGGAGGCAGGAAAGGCUUCGGCCGGACAGGGAUGGGCAUGCGGCGCAUUAGGCAGUAGGCGGGGUAACGGCCCACCUAACCGACGAUGCGUAGGGGUUCUGAGAGGAAGGUCCCCCACACUGGUACUGAGACACGGACCAGACUCCUACGGGAGGCAGCAGUGAGGAAUAUUGGUCAAUGGUCGGGAGACUGAACCAGCCAAGCCGCGUGAGGGAGGAAGGUACAGAGUAUCGUAAACCUCUUUUGUCAGGGAACAAAGGCGGGGACGUGUCCCCGGAUGAGUGUACCUGAAGAAAAAGCAUCGGCUAACUCCGUGCCAGCAGCCGCGGUAAUACGGAGGAUGCGAGCGUUAUCCGGAUUUAUUGGGUUUAAAGGGUGCGCAGGCGGUCUGUUAAGUCAGCGGUCAAAGCCCGGGGCUCAACCCCGGCCCGCCGUUGAAACUGGCAGUCUCGAGUUGGAGAGAAGUAUGCGGAAUGCGCGGUGUAGCGGUGAAAUGCAUAGAUAUCGCGCAGAACUCCGAUUGCGAAGGCAGCAUGCCGGCUCCACACUGACGCUGAGGCACGAAAGCGUGGGUAUCGAACAGGAUUAGAUACCCUGGUAGUCCACGCAGUAAACGAUGAAUGCUGGCUGUCCGGGGGGACUGACCCCUGGGUGGCGAAGCGAAAGCGAUAAGCAUUCCACCUGGGGAGUACGCCGGCAACGGUGAAACUCAAAGGAAUUGACGGGGGCCCGCACAAGCGGAGGAACAUGUGGUUUAAUUCGAUGAUACGCGAGGAACCCUACCCGGGCUCAAACGGGGAGUGGCGCAGGCAGAGACGCCUGUUUCCCACGGGACACUCCCCGAGGUGCUGCAUGGUUGUCGUCAGCUCGUGCCGUGAGGUGUCGGCUUAAGUGCCAUAACGAGCGCAACCCCCGCGUGCAGUUGCUAACAGUCAACGCUGAGGACUCUGCACGGACUGCCGGCGCAAGCCGCGAGGAAGGCGGGGAUGACGUCAAAUCAGCACGGCCCUUACGUCCGGGGCGACACACGUGUUACAAUGGGUGGUACAGCGGGAAGCCAGGCGGCGACGCCGAGCGGAACCCGAAAUCCACUCUCAGUUCGGAUCGGAGUCUGCAACCCGACUCCGUGAAGCUGGAUUCGCUAGUAAUCGCGCAUCAGCCAUGGCGCGGUGAAUACGUUCCCGGGCCUUGCACACACCGCCCGUCA